rnacentral:misc_RNA from 1 species
GUGUUGUGUUGUUUGUUUUGUGUUUGGUGGAUUUGGCGGUUUGGCUGUAUAGUUUAUUAUAUAACAGAAACUGAUCAUCUGGAGAUCAUGUGCUUUGAAGGCUAUUUUGAGAUACAGAGGUAGUGGUUUCACUUUGGAGCUUAGGCACAUGAAUAUUCAUAGAGAUUCCCCUAUUUUCUUUCUUUUUUCUUUUUAUUAAUAUGUUUUGAAUUUAGCA